GACGAACGCUGGCGGCGUGCUUAACACAUGCAAGUCGAGCGGUGAACCAGGCUUCGGCCCGGGGAUCAGCGGCGAACGGGUGCGUAACACGUGGUCAACCUACGCCUCACUAUGGGAUAACCCGGGGAAACCGGAGAUAAUACCGGACAAUUACGCCGAGCCACCUGGCCCUGAGAGGAAAGGUGCGCCGGUGAGGGAUGGGGCCGCGGCCUAUCAGCUUGUUGGUGGGGUCACGGCCCACCAAGGCGACGACGGGGAGCGGGUCUGAGAGGACGACCAGCCACACUGGGACUGAGAUACGGCCCAGACUCCUACGGGAGGCAGCAGUGGGGAAUCUUGCGCAAUGGGCGAAAGCCUGACGCAGCGACGCCGCGUGGGGGAUGAAGGCCCUCGGGUCGUAACCCCCUUUCGGCAGGGACAAAGCGAACGUGACGGUACCUGCAGAAGAAGCCCCGGCUAACUACGUGCCAGCAGCCGCAGUAACAC
rnacentral:rRNA from 1 species